rnacentral:rRNA from 1 species
UACAGAGGGUGCAAGCGUUAAUCGGAAUUACUGGGCGUAAAGCGUGCGUAGGCGGUUCGUUAAGUCGGAUGUGAAAGCCCUCGGCUCAACUGAGGACGUGCAUCCGAAACUGGCGAGCUUGAGUACUGAAGAGGAUCGCGGAAUUCCCGGUGUAGAGGUGAAAUUCGUAGAUAUCGGGAGGAACACCAGUGGCGAAGGCGGCGACCUGGGUAGAUACUGACGCUGAGGUGCGAAAGCGUGGGGAGCAAACAGG